rnacentral:siRNA from 1 species
AGGGUAGAAUUGAAAAGGGGCAUC